rnacentral:rRNA from 1 species
GAUGAACGCUAGCGGCAGGCUUAAUACAUGCAAGUCGAGGGGCAGCAGGACUGUAGCAAUACAGUUGCUGGCGACCGGCAAACGGGUGCGGAACACGUACGCAACCUACCCAAAACUGGGGGAUAGCCCGGGGAAACCCGGAUUAAUACCUCGUAACCUUUUUAAGUGGCAUCACUUGAUAAGUAUAGCUCCGGCGGUUUUGGAUGGGCGUGCGCCUGAUUAGGUAGUUGGUGCGGGUAACGGCCCACCAAGCCUGCGAUCAGUAACUGGUUUGAGAGCACGACCAGUCACACGGGCACUGAGACACGGGCCCGACUCCUACGGGAGGCAGCAGUAAGGAAUAUUGGUCAAUGGACGCAAGUCUGAACCAGCCAUGCCGCGUGAAGGAUGAAGGUCCUCUGGAUUGUAAACCUCUUUUAUGGGGGACGAAACCCGGAUAUUCUUAUCCGAUUGACGGUACCUCAGGAAUAAGCACCGGCUAACUCCGU